rnacentral:tRNA from 1 species
AAGGGAGACCUAAUUCAGGUAUGGGACGAAAAAAAAGUAGUCGCUACCAAGAAUCAAUCCCAAAAGGUCGGAGCGAGGUAUGAGGCUUUCAAACUAGGUUCUGGGUUCAAACAAGACCUGAAUCAGGAACAAGGGCUAUUAGCUCAGGUGGUUAGAGCGCACCCCUGAUAAGGGCGAGGUCCCUGGUUCGAGUCCAGGAUGGCCCACCUGCACAGGUGGCAAAAACAAGAGAAGCGAGGAAUCAGCACCUUAUCUUAUCUAUAUAUAAGAGAGAAUGCUGGCUCUGAGUAAAGAGUCCAGAGGAACCUUGAAAACUGCAUAGAGCUAGGUGAAAAAGCCAAAAAAGAAGACCGCAA